rnacentral:rRNA from 1 species
AGAGUUUGAUCAUGGCUCAGAGCGAACGCUGGCGGCAGGCCUAACACAUGCAAGUCGAGCGCCCCGCAAGGGGAGCGGCAGACGGGAGAGUAACACGUGGGAACGUACCCUUCAGUUCGGAACAACCCAGGGAAACUUGGGCUAAUACCGAAUACGUCCGUAAGGAGAAAGAUUUAUCGCUGAAGGAUCGGCCCGCGUCUGAUUAGCUAGUUGGUGAGGUAAUGGCUCACCAAGGCGACGAUCAGUGGCUGGUCUGAGAGGAUGAUCAGCCUCACUGGGACUGAGACACGGCCCAGACUCCUACGGGAGGCAGCAGUGGGGAAUAUUGGACAAUGGGCGAAAGCCUGAUCCAGCCAUGCCGCGUGGAUGAUGAAGGCCCUAGGGUUGUAAAGCUCUUUCAGCGGGGAAGAUAAUGACGGUACCCGUAGAAGAAGCCCCGGCUAACUUCGUGCCAGCCGCCGCGGUAAUAC